AUGGCGCCAGGGUUCACCAAGUUUGAUUUGGAGAAAUUCGAUGGCACGGGUAACUUCGGUCUAUGGCAAACAAGAGUCAAGAAUAUUCUGGCGCAGCAGGGAAUCUUGAAGGGUUUGCAGGAGACGAAGUUGGCCAAGGUUGACAACGAUGCAUGGGAGGAUAUGCAAGUGCAGGAGGCCGCUACCAUACGGCUUUGUCUUGCGUAUCAGGUCAUGUAUCAUGUCAUGGACUAA
rnacentral:rRNA from 1 species